rnacentral:rRNA from 1 species
GAUCAUGGCUCAGGAUGAACGCUGGCGGCGUGCUUAACACAUGCAAGUCGAACGAAGCACUUAAGAUUGAUUCUUCGGAUGACGUCUUUUGUGACUUGGUGGCGGACGGGUGAGUAACGCGUGGGUAACCUGCCUCACACAGGGGGAUAACAGUUAGAAAUGACUGCUAAUACCGCAUAACCCGAUAGGAUCGCAUGAUCCAGACGGAAAAGAUUUAUCGGUGUGAGAUGGACCCGCGU